rnacentral:misc_RNA from 1 species
GGGUCUUGGUUUCAUUAUUUUUAUGUUUUUGGCAAAAUAAAGCUUCAUUACUGACAUAUGAACAUAAUAUAGACCAGCCUUUACAUCAAUAAAAUCAUUUCAGCUAAAACUCAUUAUGAUGAUAGCUUGUUUUUCCCAGACGCUGAGAUAUAUGCACUUGGAAAUUUGCUGAAUCCAGGAGUGCAUACUAAAAGAUGCUACCUAAGCUGGGCGUCAUUUUAUACGACAAAAUGCCACCUAAACUGGCCCACAAUUUAUAUGUAAA